GCGCCCAUCGUCUAUCGGUUAGGACGCCAGCCUUUCACGCUGGAGAGAGGGGUUCGACUCCCCUUGGGCGCGCCA
rnacentral:tRNA from 2 species